rnacentral:rRNA from 1 species
UACGUAGGGGGCAAGCGUUGUCCGGAAUUACUGGGCGUAAAGGGCGCGUAGGCGGCCUUCUAAGUCGAACGUGAAAUCCCCGGGCUCAACCCGGGAACUGCGUCCGAUACUGGGAGGCUUGAAUCCGGGAGAGGGAUGCGGAAUUCCAGGUGUAGCGGUGAAAUGCGUAGAUAUCUGGAGGAACACCGGUGGCGAAGGCGGCAUCCUGGACCGACACUGACACUGAGGAGCGAAAGCCAGGGGAGCAAACGGG